rnacentral:rRNA from 1 species
GACGGAAGGUGCAAGCGUUGCUCGGAAUCACUGGGCGUAAAGGGUGCGUAGGCGGCCGUGCAAGUCUGGCGUGAAAGCCCCGGGCUCAGCCCGGGAAGUGCGCUCGAAACUGCGCGGCUCGAGUGCCGGAGGGGAGAGUGGAAUUCCUGGUGUAGCGGUGAAAUGCGUAGAUAUCAGGAAGAACACCCGUGGCGAAGGCGGCUUUCUGGGACGGUACUGACGCUGAGACGCGAAAGCGUGGGGAGCAAACAGG